ensembl:lincRNA
AUAUUAAAAGCAUUAAAAUCUGAAGUCCGAGUUUUACUAUAAACCCAGAUGAUCUGGCUGUUCUCUUGUAGAUGACGUCUCUACCAACCAUCAAUGCCCUGGCAUGAACGAGGUCCUGGAAAUGAUCAGAAAUGGGGUUUCCUUAAGACGUGUUAUACAGGUACAAAAGGGGACUUUCAAAGACGUCUGCGAUCAAGAGGAGCAACUGGAAGUCAGCAGCAGCUCUGCAGAGCCUGAACUUGAAACCAUCCUUAAAAGGAGAAAAGAAAGUGUGGAUCACUUUAUCUCGGAUGGCUCUUUUGAAGAGGAUUCUGCAGAGGACACUGGUCAGCGCAGGCUGGACAUGCCGGCCAAUAGCUCCCAAGUCAGGAAGAAUCCUGGAAAAGAGAACCCUGGCUACGUCUGCCAGGAUCAGGCGGAGAGCCAGGAACAUGGGAACUCGUGGAGGGAAUCGGUGGGAAAGCACCUUGAAUCCAACAGUGAGGCUGGAGACGAGGGCAGCACCAGCAGCACCCUCCCUGUCACGUCUCCACUGGACGUUGGUCAAGUGGAUGACCUCUCCUGUCCUCCUGAUCCAGAAGGCCAUGCUGAACCAUGGUUCGAAGAUGUGGCUUCAAUGGACCCCAGUAAUAUGGACCCUGAGACAGAGGAUCAUGUCAUCCUUGGAGCGAUUCUUAGCGAUUUGAUGACUGCCUUGAAGAACCAGGAUCUUUCAGACGAUGGGACUGCUUUAAAGGAUCAGGAUGACACGGAUACUGUAAGUAAGGCAAAUCCCCAUGCGUCUCCAGAACUUCCUGAGCAAAGCCAAGAACCAAAAGACAUGAAUGAGGAAGAAUGGACUGAUGUGAACCUGGAAGCGUUGCUUAUAUCCAGAUCCAACCUUUGUUUUAGGAAAACAGUAGACCCUGAUGAACACCUUGAAUGCCAUAAUAUCAAAAACAACCAGAACAAUGGUCAACUAGAUGUAUUAAAUGAAAUCAGUGUGGAAGACGCCAAGCAAACCCUUCCAAAGGCUUUAGAAGAUGGAGAUGUGGUGUCUUUGAAGGAAGCUGAUCUAGUAGACCUAGAUAAACACAUCACCCCUUUUCUCUUACAGAAUGGUGCACUGAUGGCUCCCCCAGCACGAUCUAGUGGACAGCAUGAUCAAGGUUGUAUCUCUUCUGACACUGCAAAGGUAUUGAAAGGAGACUUCAUAGAGGAGAGUGUAGAUAGUCCACAAGAAGCAAGCCUGGUGCCCAGAGAUCACCAGCCUCUUAAAGAAAGAGCCAGCUUUGUUGUAGGUCAAGGAGAUGUGGGUUCUCCUCCGCAAACCACCCUUCCUGCUCAUGUGAAAAACCAGAAUGUGAAGAGACCAUGUAACUCACCUCACUGUUAUCUGCCAGGCACUGAUCUCCUUCCAGCUCUUGAAGAUGAGAGAGAUUCCACUGACUCGGACAUACCUGUGUUCUUUUGCUAAGGAGUAAUCCUGUCAGAGUUUGUAAUUGAUCCAUGUUGACCUAUGUAGUGCAUAAAUUGGCCAUUGUAUUUUACUUUUGAUUGCAUUGUUCAGCAUAUUUUGUUUUAUUAAAUAGAGAGGGUUGGAAACCUUCAGUUUUUUUUAAUCCAGUAUUCAGUUUCAUGGAAGUAUUUUUUCCUUGGUGCAUUUGUGGUUUUAAUUGACAAGUUUGCUUUAAAUAAAAUAUUAAAUGAGGCAUUAUUUGAAAUUGUUGAUAUUGUUGUGAAAUGCAUCAAUUGUGUAACAUAAGCACAGAGAACGUAGACCUAAAAUGUAUGGUAAAUUAGUGAGCCUGUCAAAUCAGUAUGAACAGUGAUCAUGUACUAAAUGUAGAACAUGAUGAAACAUUUCUCUUCUCAAUUUAAAGUACUU